rnacentral:sRNA from 1 species
GAGAAUACCUCUUUGUUUUGUUGUGAAAAAUUCUGAAGUACGAGUGCCACUAAUAUUGUCAUAUUUUGUGUUAAGGAUCAUCAAAAUUUUUUGAGACUCCUCACAGAAACUGAAGACUGGCUGUAUGAAGAAGGAGAGGACCAAGCUAAACAAGCAUAUGUUGACAAGUUGGAAGAAUUAAUGAAAAUUGGCACUCCAGUUAAAGUUCGGUUUCAGGAAGCUGAAGAACGGCCAAAAAUGUUUGAAGAACUAGGACAGAGGCUGCAGCACUAUGCCAAGAUAGCAGCUGACUUCAGAAAUAAGGAUGAGAAAUACAACCAUAUUGAUGAGUCU